AACCACCUCCAGACUGCAUACAUCACUGUAAGGUCAACAAACACAUCUCUCUUUGUUAAACCUCUUUUUCCGGCGGUUCGAGUACCAGAGUGGACUCAGUGGAACAGUACACAAGCAGAGCCAUCUUUCACUGCAACUGGCCCACAAAGACUGCCUUGAGGGAACGGACCAAUGGAAUGGGCCCAUCCCGGAAGGGACCAAGGACCCCUUGAAACCCCUUGCCUUCACUGGUUUAUAAGUACAGCAGAAGUGACCCUAUGAGGGUGUAUGGGAGUUUCCAAGAUUACAAAAUAAAGAAAACCAAGAGAAA